GACGAACGCUGGCGGCGUGCUUAACACAUGCAAGUCGAACGGAAAGGCCCUGCUUUUGUGGGGUGCUCGAGUGGCGAACGGGUGAGUAACACGUGAGUAACCUGCCCUUGCCUUUGGGAUAACUUCAGGACACUGGGGCUAAUACCGGAUAGGAGCUCCUGCUGCAUGGUGGGGGUUGGAAAGUUUCGGCGGUUGGGGCUGGACUCGCGGCUUAUCAGCUUGUUGGGGGGGUAGUGGCUUACCAAGGCUUUGACGGGUAGCCGGCCUGAGAGGGUGACCGGCCACAUUGGGACUGAGAUACGGCCCAGACUCCUACGGGAGGCAGCAGUGGGGAAUAUUGCACUAUGGGCGGAAGCCUGAUGCAGCAACGCCGCGUGCGGGAUGACGGCCUUCGGGUUGUAAACCGCUUUCGCCUGUGACGAAGCGUGAGUGACGGUAAUGGGUAAAGAAGCACCGGCUAACUACGUG
rnacentral:rRNA from 1 species